GACGAACGCUGGCGGCGUGCUUAACACAUGCAAGCCGAACGAAGUGGCGCACGGGUGAGUAACGCGUAAUCAACCUGCCCUUCAGAGGGGGACAACAGUUGUUAACGACUGCUAAUACCGCUUAUUGAAGGAGGGGAUUGCGUCUGAUUUGCUAGUUGGAGGGGUAACGGCCCACCAAGGCGAUGAUCAGUAGCCGGUCUGAGAGGAUGAACGGCCACAUUGGGACUGGGACACGGCCCAGACUCCUACGGGAGGCAGCAGUGGGGAAUCUUCCGCAAUGGACGAAAGUCUGACGGAGAAACGCCGCGUGAGUGAUGACGGCCUUCGGGUUGUAAAGCUCUGUUAAUCGGGACGCGGUACCGGAAUAGAAAGCCACGGCUAACUACGUGCCAGCCGCCGCGGUAAUUC
rnacentral:rRNA from 1 species